ACACACACACACACACACACACACUUGCCUGAUCCCAUCUGAUCUCAGAAGCUAAGCAGAGUCAGGCCUGGUCAGUACUUAGAUGGGAGACCACUGAGAAAGACCAGGUGAAGUCCCUC
rnacentral:rRNA from 1 species